rnacentral:tRNA from 1 species
GGGGGUAUAGCUCAGUUGGUAGAGCGCUUGCAUGGCAUGCAAGAGGUCAGCAGUUCGAUUCUGCUUACCUCCACCA